AUGUUUGCUUGAGAAUUAUAAAAAUGCAAAUGUGAUAUAAAGGGGUUACAUUUUUUCUGAAACUUGAUCUUUUCAUUAUGGAAACCAGGUUUGAGUAAGCUGGUCAGUCACCUAAGGAUGUCUUUAUGUUUUCUUUAUAAAUUGAGCGGAGGUCAACUUUUAAGGAAAGAGUUUGACAAAGCUUCUACAGUAAAGAACAAGGGGACAAAUAACCUUUCUCUUUCAAAAAGAUAAUCUGACCAAAUAUUCUUUACAUGAGUUAAUGUUGCAUUUCCUGUAUUUAAAAAUUCUGAAUAAGGUUCCUGUAGUCUUGUUUCAGAGGCAUAGAUCAAAAAGACAGUUACAAGUUUUUAUUAUAUUCAAUCUGUUAUGAAGCAUUAUAUGUGGUCAAUGUCUCUCUCUGCAGUAAGUUUUUUAAAAUAUAUGAAGUAUUCUUUGUUACAAAUAUCCAUCAAAAAACACUGGAAUGUAAUACAAAAGUUGAGUUAUUUAAUUACUGUGUAAAUAAGACGCUGACAGGGUUCAAGCACAAAAUAUGGCAUGUACCUUAAAUAAUGUCUCAAUUUGUUUACUUUAAACUGACUAAAAAAGCUUAUUUACAUUUAAAAUUCUUCUCCUUAAGGGAGCCUUUUCGGCAUUUAUAAACAUCAAAGAAAAGCAUUCGUAAAAGCACAAUAAAAAUAUGGAAAUUAUACAUUUUUGGAAAAUACACAUUAUAGCAGUAAUAACAUGUCUGGCUAUAAAAAUACAUAAAAAGUGUUAAUAUAAGCACUUUUACAUUAUCAUGAAAAAAAAUAACUUUCAUAAAAUAGAUAUUUUCCAGAUAUAAAAAUAUAAUUUAGAAACCAAGCAUCACUUAGAACUACUUUUCUCAUAGAGCUGCAAUUAUGAGACUAGAAUAUUCCAUUCUGAACCAUUGUUCUCUGGGAAUUUUUAUAAAGGUAUAGAAAAACUAUGCUGUACAAUAAUGACACAUAAGCAAAACAAAUAUUUACAAAUUACAAGGUAUGUUAGGGAAAGCACUUGCUUUUCUAAAUGUCCAUGUGGGACACAUCACUCAAUAUUUGCCAGUUUGUCCACAUGUCCUUUAGAACAUGGCAGCCAGGAUUAAUGUGGAAAGCUCUACUCUCAGUGUCUUCUAACAUCUGAAGAUAACAGUGUGAUUCCCUUUCUUUGCCUCAUUAGUAUUUCCAUUAAUACAGCUUAAGGUCACAUUUAUUUUUAUCACCCUUCAACUGACUAAUAAAGCUCACACUCAGACUUCUGGACAUUUUUUACACGAUCUCUUGAUAAAGCAUGUUUUGCCAUUUUGUAUAUCUUCCAUUGAUUUUUCUGGAAGUUUCUUUUAAAAUUGAUAUUAAUUUCUAUUAAUUUCGGGAGAAUUUCACUGUUUCUUCUGACCCAUGGUCCCCAUACUUUCUAGCUCUUGAUUCCAUCAUUUUGCAUUUUAACAUAACUCCCCAGCUCUAUGGUACCACAAAUUUGGUAUGUGUGCCUUUUGUCCUCUCAGGAGAUACAGUGGAAGGGCCAUGUAGAUCUGAGUUUAAAAUCAAGUUCUCCAAUUACCUCCAUAUAGGAGGAAAGUUAAACAUUUUGAAUCUUAGUUCCUUCAUCUGUGAAAUUGAAAUAAUUUUACUUUGUAGACUGUUAGAACUGGAAAGGAGAUAACAAACCAAUCAAGAAAUAUAUGUUUCCUCUUUUUUUAGCUAUAUUGUAUGUGUAAAAAAAGGAUAUGGCCCUUCAGAACACUACCAGAGGCCCUUAUCCUGAUCAAUAUCAUAAAUUUCAUUACCCACUAGAAAUGUCACUCAGACCACCUUUUUAUAUUUAUAUUGUUAAAUAACAUCAUGUAGAAUUAUGUAAAUGCCUUCCUAAACUCAAGAUAUAUUAUAUUCCUAUCAUUCCAAUAUAUUACUCUAGAAACCUUACUCUAGAAACCUUAUCCAAAAUUUGUAACAGCUGUUCUUAAUAUUCAUAUUGUAAAUGUUAAUAAUCAUUUUUUAAGAAACCUAAACCCAUUUAUUUUGAAAAAUUAAGAAAAAAAGGCUUUUUGUAAUUUCUAAAAUUUUGUUCAGAAUCUACAUUAAGCUCAUAGAGCUGUGGUUUGCAGAAUUUUUCUUCUUUUAAUAUCAAGUUUCUUUUUGUAUUUUUUUUUCAAUUACUGGCAAUAGUUAUCAGUGCACUGGCUUGUAAAUUACCUGGGCUGUGAUGUUCAAACAUGAAAAGAGGCACCUUAUCUCCUUGUCUACCUUGAGUUUCAUUGCUUAGAUUUCUACUGCUUUGAAUUUCUUCUCCGUUCAUUUCAGGAUUAUUCUUGUUAGAAGGAAGAAGGUCAUAACAAAAUGUAAUUUUAUUAGUCCUUGCUCUUUGUUUUUUGUUUACUUUUAACUCUUUUCUAAAAAAUGUUCCAAAAUUACCACAUCAUUGCACAUAUAGGUGUGUGUAUCUAUGUCUAGCUGGACGUCUCUCUGUAUGUGUGUGUGAGACAGUAUACCUAUAUGUAUACAUUCACAUAUACAUGUGUGUAUACAAGUAGAUAUCACUGUGCGUGUAUAUAUUUGAAUAUAGUGUGUUGUGGGUGUUUGUAUGUUUGCAAGAGCAAGAGGAGAGGAGAGAGAGAAAGAUUGAGAAAGAGGUGUGUGUAUCCUUAGCAUUAUUUUUGACUUCCACAUCUCCACUUAUUCUUGGUUUUAGUUUUCCUAACACACUGCUUUCCUGGUUGUGUCCCCCUUCUGAACUGGCUUUUGGUUAUGUGUCCUUACAUAUUUUAUGUAUCACAUUCUCUGAAAAACCAUAGCUCAUUAGAAAUUUGUGUACAUUUUUGAUUCUCUAAAUUCCUUAUAAGCUUGUUUAUUAGAAGAUCCCAUAUCUCUCAAAACAGAACUUGACUUUUAGAAUAUCAGCUUUAAAUUUAUUUUAUUUGAAUUUCUUAACAGUUGAAUUUUAAAAUAUGAGUUGCAAAGCUUUCUUUUUCUAAACUAUAAAUAUUAUGAAAACAAGGUCAUACUUCCCCCCAAAUUCUUGUCUCUUCCACCUCAUUAAUCUGUUCAUCAUGGUUACUCUGAUUUAAGUCCAGAGUAGUAUUCACUUCAUUAGUGAGACCAUUUUCUAGAUAUUUGGAUCUGAACAUCUAUUUUGAAAAACAUAUAUAUUUGAAACCAAAGUAGUUUCUUAUUUGAACUAUUGCUUCAGCUUCCCAUUUUACUCUGUCUAGAUACUCUCUUCAAAAAUUUACCCAAAAGUUCAAUUUAUUAUAUGAUAUGAGUAAGAUUUUUAUGCUUACAGAAAAAUCUAAUCACAUUAAGAAUAUAGAAUGUUCAAUUUCAUGUCUUAUUGAAAGAAAAAUACCCUACAUAACCAACUCUUUAAAUAGCUGAAUUAAAGCUAUAUUGAUAAGAUUCUCAAUAUUUUUUCCUAUCAAAUGAAAAUUUUUAUAAGGCAUACACUCAUUAAAUUUAAUAAGCAGGAAAUUAUUUUAUUUAACAUUUAUUUAAGGGUGAACAAUGACAGCGGAUAAACUGCAUUCAGAAACUUAGCUUAUGCUUUCAAUAUACUGUGUUACUAAAACUUAAACUACCUUAGCCAACAUAACUAACAAUCAGUCUGCCUAGCUGCAGAGAACACAAUUUUAAUGUAUAAAAAUAAUUUAAAAAAUGCAUAACGUUAACAGUCAUAAUUGAAAGCAAACUACUGUAAAAAUUGUUUCAAUAUUUAAUUUAUGGUGUACUCAAAGUCUGAAAGAAAUGUAAAGAACUUUUUUAUCUCCUCACUCACUUCACCAUCUAUUUAUUACCAAGGAUAUAGAAAAUCUGAAGUACUGCACAGGGAUAUAUGGCAAUCCCCUUUUCAAACUCUAAGGUUUUAAAUUCUAUUACAAACUAGACGUUCAAAAAUUGUUUUUAUUGUAAUUUCAUCUAAGUCAAUUUUCUUUUUCAAUAAUAAAAUAUUAUUUUCUCAGCAGCAUGUCCCCAACUAAUAUGAAAAAGAUUCUUAAGAUAUCAUGCAUCUUUUCCCCCAUGCAAUGCUUCACAUUUACCUUUUUUAUGUGUCCCAUUUCCCCAUCUUCAAGUAAUCUAUCUAGUUCCCUCCUACUUUUAAAUAUAUUGAUAUCCCACCACACUUAAACACUGUUACUCCACAUUGUUUACUUUAUCAGUGAGUGGAGUACAUUUACAAAAAGUUAAAAUAGAGAUCUUGAUUCACCUUUGCUUAUCUUUUACAGGACUCUGGUUUUGACUACAAGUUACAUCUGUAAUCUUACAUUUGUGUAUUAUUAGUCAUUAUGGUACCACAUGAGAUGAUACCAAUGAUUGGCAGAAGUAAUUCCCUACUUUACAAAAUAAACUCAAUAACUUAAACUACAUUUUGCACUUUAACGAUCAAUAUUAUUGAAAGGUAUUGAGGGUUUUCACCUUUCUAUCUUUUUAUAUCGCACUGAAUCUGCUUUUUAAUUAUAAUUCUUCACCUACAAAUAAUUUGACUAUUAAUAAAGAGAUAUACAUAAAAAGGAUAGUUCCCUAAAAAGCCAUUUCCUUGAUUUAUCAAUCAGCCUAAACAGUUAUUUUUAAAAGGGCACCCUGAUUUCUGCUAGUAGAUUGAGUGAUGCUUUUUCCCUACAUGAAAAUACUAUAACCUUAGUUUUGUAUAGAAUUACAAUAAAAAGACUUUCUCCUAUGAAGUAAAUAUCCAAGUUACAAAUAUAAAAAAUCCCAUUUAACUUCAAUAUUCAACAUUUCUUAAGCUCUAAAUUGUAUGUACCUGGGCAUACAAGUUUCGUUUAUUGUAUAAGGGACCUUUGUCUACCAUAAUUUGCUAAUAAAUCAUUACCUCAUUAAUGUCCUUUAAAAUCACUAAAGAGUAGUUUGUCACUAAUAAGAAUGUUUCUAAGACUUAGUGUAUAUUUUAAGGAUUUAUAAUUUAAUGGCUGGAGAUACACUCACUUAAACCCAUAAGUCAAACUGUAUAUUUCUACCCUCUAACUUGCUGCUGACUUCCUGUACCCAGUCUUAAGGACAGUCAAAGCAGAUAAGAAACACCCACUCAAAAUAUUCAUCCUAUCAAGUCACAAUCAUAUGAGCCAUAACAACCUAUCUCUAAUUUAGCUCUUAAUUUAGCUCUUAUUAUUGAUGAGAUACUCCUUUGAAAUAUUGUCAUAAGGAGAAUUUGCGGAGCAUCCAGGGAAUGCAAAAAUCACAACAGAGGAAAUGUUCCAUACCAAAACUGGAAGAAUUCUGAAGCAAAGCUUUUCUUCACGAUUUUGCCAAAGCAAGUUCUUAUCUUUUCUCUCAGCAUUACAAAUUUAUCAUGGCUCAACAUUUUAGUCUAUAAUAUUGCUCAGAUUUUAUUCAAGCAAAUCAAAAUGUUAUUUUUUUAAGAGUGUCAUAAGACAAGUUAGGUGCAAAUCUCAUGUUUUUACUUAUUUGACCAAGUAGACCAAACUUAUUCUUAAUGAAAUCAGAAUUCCAGAUUAGCCUUGAAGGUCUAUUUUGUUUCUACAUGGAUAAACUCUUUUUUCCCAUGGGAUGUUACAACAAGAUGUCUAAAUUAAUUAGGUGAUGAUGAAUCUGAGUCAUGUGUUUUUUUAUAAAACUGAUAAGAAAAAAUAUAAGUGCCCUUCUAGAUAAAGCAACUUAAGUUAAAUGUCUUUUCAAAAUAAAAAGAUAUUUUGUAGUAUUUCUUUCUGGAAAAAUUUUCAGUUGGCCAAGCCAAUUUAAUGUAGCCAAAGCUACAAAUUGCUAAUUAGCAUACCACCAGGUAAAAAGGUGCUUAAUAAAUAAUGAUCUGAUGCACUACAGAAAAUAGCUCUCAUAAACAUCCUUCAUACGAUGUGACCCUAGCAUUUAAUAUUUUGUUUUAGAAGAAGAAAGUGACAUUUGUUAAAUUUUCUUGAUAAUACCUAUUGUAUUCUUAUGAAUCUAUUUAAACUAUUAAUGUACAUUUUAUUACUAUGAAUAAUCAUAUUUAUUAUAAACAUUUAAAAUUUUCACCAUUUUUCUGAUUUUCAUUAGUAAAUUUAAUAACAAUUGUAAUUGCUCUCACAAUAUAAGAUUUUGAAAGGAUAAUUGUACUUAAGACAACAGGCUACUGUUUCUUUUUAUUAUAAUCUCAUAAUAUAAGCAAUUGGUUUUGCUUUUUUAGUAACAGGUUUUAUUAGUCACAGAACUAGACAUUGUUUAAUACAAAACACAUUUUUGGUAAGUUAAGAAACCAGCUUUACAUGCUAUGUCAACAUUCUAGAUUAGUCAAUUUAUUGCUCUUGUCAUGUAGAAUAUAAUAUAAAACAUUAAUCAUUUUUAUUUAAAUUCCUUAAAAUUUCUCCAUUUGAUCUCAAAACUCAUUAAUAUCUGGAUUGUAAAAGCAAUACAAAUUUGGAACAACCAAGGUGCUGUAAGUUCAAUUAGUUAAAUCACUAAUUUUCUUCAUAGUAAAUUCAGGACAGAUAAUUUAUUGAAAUGAAUGCACAAAGGAAGGCAAUUAUGUACAUGAAGACUUAAAAAUAACAAGAAAUAUAUGAUAAUGUUAAGCAAGAUUAUACUAAAUCAGCAUUCACGGGUUUAAAGUAGUCUAGCAGGAUUUUUAGGUAAUGUGUCUAAUUCAUAAUCACUUUAAUGGCUUGACCCAAUAAUUUAGGUUAUAUUUCCUGAUCACAAGAAAAAGCCUAGUUUUGUCAAUUUCAUGAUAAAUUAAAGUUUAUGAUUUAAUAGAGUUUAUUAUGUUAAUCAAUCUACCAGAUGAUUCAGAAUUCACCAGUUGCUUCAUUCCUUAAUGAAAUUGCCUAUCAACCUAUUGAAGAGAAAUAAAAAUAUAAAAACUCAGAUGUUGGUCAUUAUGCAAACUAAGCCACUAGAAGAAUUAUUAAAUUUUAUCCCAUUUAAUUAAAGAGUGACCUAGGAAAGACAUUCAGUUCCCUCUAUUAACACUUAAUUAAUUUUAGUGAAUUAAUAAUAUUUCUUUAGAAACUGAAUAAUGAAAUCAUGAUAUUAAUAAUUCAUAUUUAGUGGAGGGCAAAAGAGGAGGCCACAGAGUGAGACUAAGUUAUUUAGCUCC
rnacentral:lncRNA from 1 species